rnacentral:rRNA from 1 species
CCUACGGGGAGCAGCAGUGGGGAAUAUUGCACAAUGGGGGAAACCCUGAUGCAGCGACGCCGCGUGGGUGAAGAAGUAUUUCGGUAUGUAAAGCCCUAUCAGCAGGGAAGAAAAAUGCCGGUACCUGACUAAGAAGCACCGGCGAAAUACGUGCCAGCAGCCGCGGUAAUAGGUAUGGUCCAAGCUUUAUCCGGAUUUACUGGGUGUAACGGGAGCGCAGGCGGCACGCUAAGCCGGAUGUGAAAACCCGCGGCCCAACCGCGGGAGUGCAUUGGAAACUGGCGAGCUGGAGUACCGGAGGGGCAGGCGGAAUUCCUGGUGUAGCGGUGAAAUGCGUAGAGAUUAGGAGGAACACCAGUGGCGAAGGCGGCCUGCUGGACCGAGACUGACGCUGAGGCUCGAAAGCGUGGGGAGCAAACAGGAUUAGAUACCCGAGUAGUC